rnacentral:rRNA from 1 species
AUGGCUUGCUACCCAUGCGAUCCCUAUCCCCACCUCCCCGCUGACACCACAAUCACCGCUCCGGGUCCUGAGCGCGUGCAACGAGGCUACGUCAUCCUCGGUGGUGAGCUCCCUAUGGUCUUCGACGAGUGGGCCAUUGCUACUCUGGUUCCAGGCGUUCCUCCUGAAGAUUUCCCUGCCGCCAAUGCUUUGAUCUUAGAGUUCCUUGAAUCCAAAGGGUGGAGGAUCAACUACACGUCCAGAUGUCGUAUGGGUACUGUCCUGAUCCAAUUUACAACUGCUUGCUCGAGAGAUUUUGCUGUCAGUAACAGCCCAUAUGAGAUUGGGGACUCUGUUCUUCGCAUCACUAGGAAUGAUAGGAGUCUGAACUACCGUAGCAUUGCUUUCACACAUGAUGUUUGGCUUAUGUUGAUGAACUACCCUCUUAAAUGCUGGGAUGUUGGAGUAUUCAGUCGUACUGUCUCUCAGUAUGGCAGGUUUUUGAUCUGGAACAAGGAUCCCAAAGAUAAAACCAGGAUUAUUGUUAAAGUCAAAGUGAUGAGUGUUGACACGCUCCCUGUUAGUAUUGUUGUUCUGCGUAACCUUGACGAUGUUGGGUAUGGAGAUUCAUGGACAUGUCCCACAUACAUUCUCUCCCGUGAGCUUAUUGGUCAGCAGGGUGGCGAUGAGGAUCCUCUUCCCCCUAAUGGAGGAAACCCUCACCCCUUGUCACAUGUUCAGGAAUGA